rnacentral:ncRNA from 1 species
GCCGGGGGAGCUUGGGAAAGCCAGGCUGAGAGGUCAGCACUAAUGCUGUCGACCCCUUCACACCUGAUCUGGGUAAUGCCAGCGUAGGGAGAGUGCGAA